rfam:Stegodyphus mimosarum contig79397, whole genome shotgun sequence.
GCCUUCGUGGUGUAAUGGUCAGCACACUGAGCCGGUAUUUCAGAGGUCCGCGGUUCGAUUCCCAGCGAAGGCG